rnacentral:rRNA from 1 species
GACGAACGCUGGCGGCGUGCUUAACACAUGCAAGUCGAACGGAAAGGCCCUGCUUGCCGGGUACUCGAGUGGCGAACGGGUGAGUAACACGUGGGUGAUCUGCCCUGCACUUCGGGAUAAGCCUGGGAAACUGGGUCUAAUACCGGAUAGGAGCCAUUUUUAGUGUGAUGGUUGGAAAGUUUUUUCGGUGUAGGAUGAGCUCGCGGCCUAUCAGCUUGUUGGUGGGGUAAUGGCCUACCAAGGCGGCGACGGGUAGCCGGCCUGAGAGGGUGGACGGCCACAUUGGGACUGAGAUACGGCCCAGACGCCUACGGGAGGCAGCAGUGGGGAAUAUUGCACAAUGGGCGCAAGCCUGAUGCAGCGACGCCGCGUGGGGGAUGACGGCCUUCGGGUUGGAAACUCCUUUCGCUAGGGACGAAGCUUUUUGUGACGGUACCUAGAUAAGAAGCACCGGCUAACUACGUG